GACGAACGCUGGCGGCGUGCUUAACACAUGCAAGUCGAACGGAAAGGCCCUGCUUUUGUGGGGUGCUCGAGUGGCGAACGGGUGAGUAACACGUGAGUAACCUGCCCUUGACUUUGGGAUAACUUCAGGAAACUGGGGCUAUUACCGGAUAGGAGCUCCUGCUGCAUGGUGGGGGUUGGAAAGUUUCGGCGGUUGGGGAUGGACUCGCGGCUUAUCAGCUUGUUGGUGGGGUAGUGGCUUACCAAGGCUUUGACGGGUAGCCGGCCUGAGAGGGUGACCGGCCACAUUGGGACUGAGAUACGGCCCAGACUCCUACGGGAGGCAGCAGUGGGGAAUAUUGCACAAUGGGCGGAAGCCUGAUGCAGCAACGCCGCGUGCGGGAUGACGGCCUUCGGGUUGUAAACCGCUUUCGCCUGUGACGAAGCGUGAGUGACGGUAAUGGGUAAAGAAGCACCGGCUAACUACGUG
rnacentral:rRNA from 1 species